rnacentral:rRNA from 1 species
AUUGAACGCUGGCGGCAGGCCUAACACAUGCAAGUCGAGCGGAUAAAGGGAGCUUGCUCCUGGAUUCAGCGGCGGACGGGUGAGUAAUGCCUAGGAAUCUGCCUGGUAGUGGGGGAUAACGUCCGGAAACGGGCGCUAAUACCGCAUACGUCCUGAGGGAGAAAGUGGGGGAUCUUCGGACCUCACGCUAUCAGAUGAGCCUAGGUCGGAUUAGCUAGUUGGUGGGGUAAAGGCCUACCAAGGCGACGAUCCGUAACUGGUCUGAGAGGAUGAUCAGUCACACUGGAACUGAGACACGGUCCAGACUCCUACGGGAGGCAGCAGUGGGGAAUAUUGGACAAUGGGCGAAAGCCUGAUCCAGCCAUGCCGCGUGUGUGAAGAAGGUCUUCGGAUUGUAAAGCACUUUAAGUUGGGAGGAAGGGCAGUAAGUUAAUACCUUGCUGUUUUGACGUUACCAACAGAAUAAGCACCGGCUAACUUCGU